GGUUGUCGUCAGCUCGUGUCGUGAGAUGUUGGGUUAAGUCCCGCAACGAGCGCAACCCUCGACCUUAGUUGCCAGCAUUCAGUUGGGCACUCUAAGGUGACUGCCGGCUAAAAGUCGGAGGAAGGUGGGGGUGACGUCAAAUCAUCAUGCCCCUUAUGACCUGGGCUACACACGUGCUACAAUGGGCGGUACAAAGGGUCGCGAACCCGCGAGGGGGAGCCAAUCCCAAAAAGCCGCUCUCAGUUCGGAUUGCAGGCUGCAACUCGCCUGCAUGAAGCCGGAAUCGCUAGUAAUCGCGGAUCAGCAUGCCGCGGUGAAUACGUUCCCGGGCCUU
rnacentral:rRNA from 1 species